AGUUGACUAAAUUGUUAGUUUAAAGAAGAUUGUGAGUGUCAGCACAUAAAAAGGUAAUCCUGUCUCAAUUGUAGCUACAGAUUGCAAGUCCUGUGUCAAUUCAAAUUUUUGCCAACAGAUACUAAUUACUUCACUGAAAGCAGAUGUUUAGAAAUGAAAGUGUAAACACAACCCCGGUUGAUUAAUAUGCUUAUUGUAUUUCCUUGUUGUAAGUCUAGUGAAUAUUUGAUUAUCUUUAAAUUGAUCCAUAGUAUAUUCAAUAGUCUCAUGAGAACAUAAUUUUUGUUGAUGAUUUGUCCAAAGUUUCCAUCAAUCCAUCCUAGCAGCAGAGCCAAGUGUUAGAGUUAUUGCUGCCUGAGUUAUAACAGCUGCCCUGGGAAUCUUGUCUGAACAACAAGUUAACUGCUGUUCCCAGUUAUAUCUGGUCUUUCCCACCCCCAAACAUACACAAAAGAUUUUUGUCAUUCUUGGCAUUGGACAGCAGAAGUGGUAAGACAUGCCAGCAGAACUCUAAAGGCAGAAUGUCCUUCCACCUGUUUUAUGCUGUAAGACAAACUUCCAAGUGCGAGGCAGUGUGGAGGACUGUUUCCUUGAAUGGCAACUGAAUGCACCAGCGGGAUCCUUGGCAGCAAUGCCCAGGCACUGAAGCCGGGCAUUCAGGAGAGCUAAAUGGAGAAAAAAAACUUGAGCAAACUGCUUCCUGGAACACUGAGAACCUGAAUGGGAAAUUAAGAAGAACCAGAUUCUUUCUAUUCUUCCACCAGCCAAGGUGGUGAUCAUAAAAGGAUCCAUCUUAUACAGUGCUUGCCAUCUUCCACAAUACUACUCACCACAAUGCUGAAAUCACCUGUUCCAGAACCAAUCCUGUCCUUUGACAAGAAGAAUUUAAUUAUCAGUUCUGGUGGGGACCGGCUGGAGAGGGAAAACACUUCAAGGACUCUGCCACCAUUCCCAGAUGGAGAGUGCAGAGUUUGUACCAUGGAACUCCUUCUCUAACAGUUACUCUGUGGCAGUGCCUAUUUUGAACCUCCCUUAACUUCUGAUUGUAUAGAUGUUUGUUUCAUUUGUUCAUCUGUUUGUUCACUUAAUCAGAGCUGUCUUAAGCCUUAAGAGAGAUAGUGGACUAGAAAGUGCCUUGGAAAGGUACAAAGCUCAAUCCAAGUAACAUAACUUGAAUAUCAAAGAUGUAUUUACUAUAGGUUACCAGUUCCGCUCUUGUUUGUUUGUUUGUUUUUAAACUAGGAACUUAUGAAGCCUAAAAUAUAAAAUGCAUAUACAUGGAUAUGCUCUGAAGUGAGGUAGAGGGGUAGAAAUCAACAUUGUGAUACUGUACUAUAGCUUUGCAAGAUGUUACCACUGGGGGAAAAUGCUUGAAGCACACACAGGAUAUCUCUGUCUUAUUUCUUACAACUGCAUGUGAAUCUACAGUUAUCUCAAAAUAAAAAUUUAAUUAACAGUUAA